rnacentral:rRNA from 1 species
CUACGGGGGGCUGCAGUGAGGAAUAUUGGACAAUGGAGGCAACUCUGAUCCAGCCAUGCCGCGUGCAGGAAGACGGCCCUACGGGUUGUAAACUGCUUUUAUACAGGAAGAAACGCCGCUACGUGUAGCGGUUUGACGGUACUGUACGAAUAAGGAUCGGCUAACUCCGUGCCAGCAGCCGCGGUAAUACGGAGGAUCCAGGCGUUAUCCGGAAUCAUUGGGUUUAAAGGGUCCGUAGGCGGUUUUUUAAGUCAGAGGUGAAAUCCUGCAGCUCAACUGUAGCAUUGCCUUUGAUACUGAAAGACUUGAGUUAUUGUGAAGUAGUUAGAAUGUGUAGUGUAGCGGUGAAAUGCAUAGAUAUUACACAGAAUACCGAUUGCGAAGGCAGAUUACUAACAAUAUACUGACGCUGAGGGACGAAAGCGUGGGUAGCGAACAGGAUUAGAUACCCGCGUAGUC